GCAGCAUGCAUGGCUCACACAAGGUCUGCAGCUCAGUGAGAGCUGGGAUGGCAGAGGGGCAGUGAUGGGAGAUGGUUCUGAAGUAGGGGUUGUGGAAAGAGCAUCUAAAAGACAAAGCAGAGAUGGCACAGCUGUAGCAUUAGUGACAGUUAGUUUAAUUGCCUAAAACCAAAGCACCUGCCUCAGAAGUGGCUUGUCUUACAAAAAUCGAGGCCUGCUGAAACAUUUUGAGGAAAACAUUUGUUUCAUUUUGUGUGAUAUGGAUCUUCCCUUGAGUCAAGGACAGAAGAUAAAGGAGGAAAGUUUGACAUUUUGACUUCAGUCUGGAAUGCAGCAGAUGGACUCCCAAAACACUUCCACUGAUACCAGCAGGUUUACUGGGAUGAGAAUCAGUUUUAAAGACCUCAACCAAAGCAUGAUCAAAUGGAUGACGAAAACCUCCUGAAUUCAGCAAGGCCUAAGAGAGAUAUCAUGGGACUUCCUGAGACGUUUAGGUGAUAUUUACAGUGAUCUGCUGCUAGAGGAGCACUAAAUCACAGUUAUUUGUCUACUGGGAAUUUAAAUGCCUGGGAUGCAGUCCUACAUCAUUGCCUCAUCAGUCAUGGGGAAGCUGAAGGAAGAGUACAUUUGGACCAGGACAAGUCAAUACCAAGGGCUGUACUUUCAUUAAGGUAGCAGAAUUCUUAAAACAAAAUCUUGUCUUAGUAAGCGCCUGUUCUCUGCAAACCAGAUUCAAUUACACAGCAGAUCAUAAGGAACUCUUCCGUAAGAUGCAAUUUUGGGGGCUUUUUGUUUGAAGAUAUUUGAAUUGCCUGUGAUAUUCCCAGACAUAACAACAUCCAUCAGCUUAAUCCUCUUCUCUGCUAGAGUCUGAGGAAGAACACUGAAGACCUGUGAGAUUACAGAACUCUUUAUCAAAAGGCACAGAAUUCCUAUGACAUUUUAAUGGAUUUUCAUGGAAUCACAGAAUGGCCUGGAUGGGAAGGGAUCUCAAGGAUCAUGAAUCUCCAACCCCCCUGCC